UUUAAUGGUCAUGUGAUCUUGAAAGAGAACUGAGACUAGUAAACACUCUUUUUGUAGAGCUCAUGGAAAACAUGAAGGAUUUCAUACAGGAAAGCCUGGUGCUCAGGUACUACUAUACAGCUCAGAGCAAAGAAGAUUCCAUAACAACAGGGCUUCAUAUGAAAGCCUAUGGUACAUACAGAAAAAUCCAAGUGAAAAUGGAUUCAAGAACUCAUCCAAAGAUCCCUAUGCUAAGCUGAUACCUGAGUGGCCACAGGGCUUUGUCUGGGACUUGGGCUAAUGAUGCCAUAAAAGGAAACACAAACUACCAGCUCCUUAGCUCCUGGGAGUAUUUGCCUUAGGGACUCUGAGCAGGGCUUGAAGUUUGACAAUUGCUUAUGGGUGUACUCAGGGAAAUGCCAUCACAUUUAUUGUUGUUGCUCUUGUUUAUAUCCCAACACUGAUGGGAUUUGGAAAAUAAAUGGAUAUACACUU